AUUGAACGCUGGCGGCAGGCUUAACACAUGCAAGUCGAGCGGAGAGAGGUAGCUUGCUACUGAUCUUAGCGGCGGACGGGUGAGUAAUGCUUAGGAAUCUGCCUAUUAGUGGGGGACAACAUUUCGAAAGGAAUGCUAAUACCGCAUACGUCCUACGGGAGAAAGCAGGGGAUCUUCGGACCUUGCGCUAAUAGAUGAGCCUAAGUCGGAUUAGCUAGUUGGUGGGGUAAAGGCCUACCAAGGCGACGAUCUGUAGCGGGUCUGAGAGGAUGAUCCGCCACACUGGGACUGAGACACGGCCCAGACUCCUACGGGAGGCAGCAGUGGGGAAUAUUGGACAAUGGGCGCAAGCCUGAUCUAGCCAUGCCGCGUGUGUGAAGAAGGCCUUAUGGUUGUAAAGCACUCUAAGCGAGGAGGAGGCUACUUUAGAUAAUACCUAGAGAUAGUGGACGUUACUCGCAGAAUAAGCACCGGCUAACUCUGUGCCAGCCGCCGCUGUAAAAC
rnacentral:rRNA from 1 species